rnacentral:tRNA from 1 species
GGGGAUUAGUUCAAUGGUAGAGCAUAUGCUUAGCAUGCAUAAGGCCCUGGGGUCAAUCCCUAGUUACUCCA